GCUGGGCUCAGUGGCUCACGCCUGUAAUCCCAGCAGCUCCGGAGGCUGAGGCAGGAGGAUCGCGAGUUCAAAGCCAGCCUCAGCAACUUAGCAAGACCCUAAGCAACUCAGUGAGACCUUGUCUCUA
rnacentral:sRNA from 1 species